ensembl:snoRNA LOC120095390 small nucleolar RNA SNORA70
CUGCAGCCAAUGAGGCCUCCGGGUUCCUUUCUCAUGGGGGCCUGCUCUGCCACGGCCUACGAACACAACCUUCUUGGUAGUGUGGGCAGCCUGUCGCCUGUUUGAGCUGCCCUAAGGGGCCUUGGAGGCUUGG